UUGUGGGCCCCACAAUGAUGUAUGCAUUAAAUUCAUUCCGUCCAUUCAUUUUUUUCUGAUCAUUUUAGCACAUGAACCUAAAAAUGGGGCAAAUCCAAAGCUCAAUUGGACCACACCAAAGAUAACAGUGGGCUUAUGCCUUAAAAUGAUAUGAAAAAUGAAUGAACGGCGUGGAUACAAUGCAUACAUCACAGUGGGGCCCAGAC